rnacentral:rRNA from 1 species
UACAGAGGGUGCAAGCGUUAAUCGGAAUUACUGGGCGUAAAGCGUGCGUAGACGGUAGCGUAAGUCGGGUGUGAAAGCCCCGGGCUCAACCUGGGAAUUGCAUUCGAGACUGCUCUGCUAGGGUGCGGAAGAGGGGAGCGGAAUUUCCGGUGUAGCGGUGAAAUGCGUAGAUAUCGGAAGGAACACCAGUGGCGAAAGCGGCUCCCUGGUCCAGCACCGACGUUCAGGCACGAAAGCGUGAGGAGCAAACAGG